rnacentral:rRNA from 1 species
GUAGUCCACGCUGUAAACGAUGAAUGCUAGUUGUCGGCACGCAUGCGUGUCGGUGACGCAGCUAACGCAUUAAGCAUUCCGCCUGGGGAGUACGGCCGCAAGGUUAAAACUCAAAGGAAUUGACGGGGGCCCGCACAAGCGGCGGAGCAUGCGGAUUAAUUCGAUGCAACGCGAAGAACCUUACCAAGGCUUGACAUGGGGUGAAAACUCGCAGAGAUGCGGGGUCCGUAAGGGCGCCUCACAGGUGGUGCAUGGUUGUCGUCAGCUCGUGUCGUGAGAUGUUGGGUUAAGUCCCGCAACGAGCGCAACCCUCGUUCUAUGUUGCCAGCACGUGGUGGUGGGGACUCAUAGGAGACUGCCGGGGUCAACUCGGAGGAAGGUGGGGACGACGUCAAAUCAUCAUGCCCCUUACGUCUUGGGCUUCACGCAUGCUACAAUGGCCAGUACAAAGGGCUGCGAGACCGUGAGGUGGAGCGAAUCCCAAAAAGCUGGUCUCAGUUCGGAUCGGGGUCUGCAACUCGACCCCGUGAAGUCGGAGUCGCUAGUAAUCGCAGAUCAGCAACGCUGCGGUGAAUACGUUCCCGGGCCUUGUACACACCGCCCGUCACGUCAUGAAAGUCGGUAACACUCGAAGCCGGUGGCCCAACCCCUUGUGGGAGGGAGCUGUCGAAGGUGGGACUGGCGAUUAGGACG